UGACACUCACAGGACUCCGUUUAUUUGAUCAUUUUAAUACCAGAAAUGCCAGACCAGUCAACAGGAAGGACGGUCACACAGAUGCCUGCACUCACGACAAGGACGGUGCAGCGUCCAGGGCCCCGGGCAUGCAUGCAUCUUCUCCAGCACCGGGGCGGGUGCGAGGCCGAAAUCCACGGGACCACCGCAGGUCACGGGACCAUGCUGCACGGGCGACGGGAGGCUUCAAAUAGGGAACCUACACGUCACACCUCACGUCAGCAGACACAUAAUUUACAUAUGAAAAGAAAGGACCGCAGAAUGACGCGUGCAAGGGCUCUGGUCACGUGGGCAAGGGGGCGGGCCAUGCACGGGAGGGGCUCGGCUGUCUGUGCUCCGCUGUCUUCGUCUUCAUCUUCGGUCCCACCCCAGCCCACGAAGUCCCCGCGCUGGCGCUGGGGAGGCCAACUCGGGCCUCGGCACGCUCCUGGAAAGUCCUGCCCGGAGCCCGGCAAGCCGUGCCCUGCAGAGGAGAGUUCCAUCCCCGGAGUCACUUUGGAAGGGGACGGGCCGGGCGGGAGGGGACAUCAGGCUGGUCAGGCGGAGGAGGGGAGGCAGAGCCCGCAGGCCAGGUGCUUCGUGUUACUGGCCGGCCCGGCAGGAGGGUGCUGGAGGCGGAGGCGUCCGCUUUGGAGAGCAAAGCUGAGAAGGGCAGGAGCCGGGCUCCUCGCGUCGCCCACCCCACCCCCACCCUCAGAACUGGCUGGCGCUGCUGGGGUCGCACUGCAGCAGCCGCACGAUGGAGGGGUCGCUCUUGGCGAACUUGGAGGCGUCGCCGUAGGGGAAGAAGUUGGCGUAGAUCUUCUUGAACUCGCCCACGGUGAGGUGGCCGGUGGGGCAGUCCUUUAGGAAGCCCUUGUACCACUCCUGCAGCUCAUGGUUGGGUGAACUCCGUGUUCUCACGCAGGUCUUGCAGCACCUCCUGGCCGCAGCUUGCUGUUCUGCUUGCCCAUGGUGGCCGGUGACUACACCUGCAAGACACGGUCAGCUGAGGACACCGAGGGCCCAGCCGAGCCAAGCAACAUCCUGGGUGUCACGAGCCAUAGGCCAGAGGGAC
rnacentral:lncRNA from 1 species